GCAUGAGAUGGAUAUUUAGAUCUAAGGUAUAAGACGUAAUGUACUACGAAAAAUUGUGAGUUAAUCAAUCAAAUUCACAAGUCUCUUAACAAGGUAAACUCCAAAAGUUGUUCUAUAAAGGCCUGUUAUAUUAAGCGAAUUGACACAUCUUAGUAGCUUAAGUAAAAAAUCAACCGAGAGUUCAUAAUUAGGUGGCGAGCCAACAUGAAUUAGAGAAAAAAUUUAAAAGUUAAUAGAAAAAUCAUGAAUGAUUUACUAUAAAAGGUUUUAGUCCUGUACAUUAACUCUAAAUAUAAAAAAUAAAUAAGAAAAUCAUUUAUGUUUUUCUAAAAAUUGGGGUACCAUACCUCAACUCUAAUUAUUGCCUUAGAAUCAAUAGUAAAUAGUACUGUGAAGGAAAAAUGAAAAGAAAGUUUAUUCAAAAACUUAUAGUGAAAAGACUUUGAAAUCUGAUGCGUUCAUUAGCUUGAAAUUUCGUUUAAAAUAGACGGAAUAACAAGGUUCCUUUUGUAUCAUGAGUCAACGACUUUAUAAUUGUAGCAAGCUUAAGUUGUUAAAUGUAAGCGUAGCAAAUACAUGUUUUAAAAAAGCUUUCUUUUUUAAAUGAGUUAUAAUUAUAAUACCCGAAUUCAAGUGAUCUAGCCAAGAACAGACUGAAUACAUAGUAAUGUAUGUGAGAAGGUCAAACUAGUAGUUGUUGCAAAAACUUUAGCAGAUUUUUGGCUCGGAGUGAAAGAUUAAUCAAACUUGUAAUAGCUGGUUUUUUGCGAAAAAUAUUUAGGUAUUGCAUAAAUAAACCUACAAAAUAAGUGGUAGAGCACUGUCUAAAUUAGGGGGAUUAAAAUCUUACCGCAUUUAUAUAAACUCCGAAUACUUAUAUUUGUAAUUUGUAGUCAGACUUUACGUGAUAAGAUGUAGAAGUCAAAAGGGAAACAGCCCAGAUUAAUAGCUUAGGUUUCUAAAAAAUAUGCUUAGUAAAAAGGUUGUAAAAAAAUUAAGAUGACUAGGAAGGUAAGCUUGGAAGUAGCUAUCCUCUAAAAAGUGUGUAAAAACUUACUAGUUGAAUUUAAAAUUAAAAAAUUUUUUUGCGUCGAAAAUUCAUAGAAUUUAAGCUAUUUGCCGAUGCUUUAAACUUUUAACUUUUUGUGAAGAGCAAACGAGUAUAAAAGUGGUAGCAAAACGUUUCUUUGUUCGUUAAAGGUAUAUUGUAAAAUUUACUGAAGAAAAAGAAAGUGAGAAUGUUGAUAUAAGUAACGUGCAUAAUGUUAUAAACAUUAUUACCGUAUAAUUCAAGGUUUUUUCCGUAAUGUUUGUCAUCGGUAAAAUAAAGUCGAUUUCUAAAAAUACUUAAGCGAAAGCAGUUUUAAAUGGUAAUUUUUAAAUAAAAACUAAUAAAAGACGACGCGUAAAUAUUAAAGCAAAUAAAAACACAAUUUUUUGUUCGAAAAUAAUUUACGUCAAGAAAUAAUCUUUUAUUUAUAUAAUUCGUACUUAGCCAACAAAGGUGAAUUUGUUUUAUAGAACAAAGGUAAUUGAGUCAAUCAUUUUUAAGGAACUAGGCAAAUUUAUUCUGUAACUUCGGGAAAAAGAAUACCUUUAUAAAAGGUGUCACCAAAUAACGAAUAGCGACUAUUUAACAAAAAUACAGGGUUUUGCUAAAUUGUAAAAUGCAGUAUAAGACCUGAAGCCUGCCCAGUGCUAGCAUAUUAAAUGUAAAAGUAAAUGCUGUUAAAUGAAAUACUAGUAAACGGAGGUCGUAACUCUAACGAUCAUAAAGUAGCAAAAUUCCUAGGCAAGUAAUUUUUGUCCUGCAUGAAUGGCUUAACGACUUUUCGACUGUCUCAAAAGUGAGCUCAGUGAAAUUAGAAUUUGUGUGAAGAUACACAAAAAUUAAAGUAAGACGAAAAGACCCUGUUGACCUUUACUACAUUUUUACGUUGUUAUAAAAUUUUUCUUGUGUAGUUUAAGUGGGAGCAAAUAUUUGCGCAACUGAAAGACCACUCGUGUUAAAAUUUUGAACUAAUUUAAAUUGAAAAAGUGUAAAAUUGGUAGUUUCAUUGGGGCGAUAAUCUUCUAAAAAGUAACGAAGAUCUACAAAAGCAAAUUCGAAUUCUGUAGAAAUGAAUUUUUGAGUGUAAUGGCUAAAAUUUGCUUGACUGUGAGAUUUAUAAAUCAAACAGAGAUAAUAUUUGUCGGUCAUAGUGAGCCAAUUAUUUUGAAUGGAAAAAUAAUUGCAUAAGAAAUAAUAGGUACCACAGGGAUAACAGGCUUAUCGCUUUUAAAAGUUCAUAUUGAUGAAGCGGUUUGGCACCUCUAUGUCGACUCGUCGCAGCCUGAUGUUGAAAAAGAUAUCAAAGGUUUGGCUGUUCGCCAAUUAAAGCGUCACGUGAGUUGGGUUCAGAACGAUGUGAAUCAGUUUGGUCUCUAUCUGCUUUAAUUGUUAAAAAAUUUAAAAGGUUUAUUUUUAGUACGAGAGGACCAAAAUAAAAAAACCUAUGAUGCAUCGAUUAUUUUUUUUUAAGUAAGUCGAUUAGUUACGUUUUCUUUUAUAAUUGCUGAAAGCAUCAAAAGCAAGAAAAUAACUUUGAACCAAAUUUUUUUAUAUAUAAACGUGAGAGAUCAUCACGUGUUAUAGGCAAAUUGUCAAUUUGUAGUAAUACAGAAGCUAAUUUGUACUAAUUUAUUU
rnacentral:rRNA from 12 species